AACGCGAAGAACCUUACCCAGGCUUGAACAGCGAGUGACCAUCGAUGAAAGUCGACUUCCGCAAGGACACUCGUAGAGGUGCUGCAUGGCUGUCGUCAGCUCGUGUCGUGAGAUGUUGGGUUAAGUCCCGCAACGAGCGCAACCCUUGUUUGCUGUUGCCAUCAGGUUAAGCUGGGCACUCUGCAAAGACUGCCGGUGAUAAACCGGAGGAAGGUGGGGAUGACGUCAAGUCAGCAUGGCCUUUAUGUCUGGGGCUACACACGUGCUACAAUGGCCGAUACAAACCGUCGCGAGCCCGCAAGGGGGAGCUAAUCGGAGAAAGUCGGUCUCAGUUCGGAUCGUCGGCUGCAACUCGCCGGCGUGAAGUUGGAAUCGCUAGUAAUCGCGGAUCAGCACGCCGCGGUGAAUACGUUCCCGGGCCUUGUACACACCGGACACGC
rnacentral:rRNA from 1 species